rnacentral:rRNA from 1 species
CCUACGGGUGGCAGCAGUAGGGAAUAUUCCACAAUGGGGGAAACCCUGAUGCAGCAACGCCGCGUGAGUGAAGAAGCGCCUCGGCGCGUAAAACUCUGUCAGCAGGGACGAUAAUGACUGUACCUGAAGAAGAAGCCCCGGCUAACUACGUGCCAGCAGCCGCGGUAAUACGUAGGGGGCAAGCGUUAUCCGGAUUUACUGGGUGUAAAGGUAGCGUAGACGGUGGGGCAAGUCUGGAGUGAAAGGCGGGGGCCCAACCCCGGGACCGCGCUGGAAACUGCCCGGCUGGAGUGCGGGAGAGGUAAGCGGAAUUCCUAGUGUAGCGGUGAAAUGCGUAGAGAUUAGGAGGAACACCAGAGGCGAAGGCGGCUUACUGGACCGUGACUGACGUUGAGGUUCGAAAGCGUGGGGAGCAAACAGGAUUAGAUACCCUGGUAGUC